rnacentral:rRNA from 1 species
AACGAACGCUGGCGGCAGGCUUAACACAUGCAAGUCGAACGCAUGCCUUCGGGCAUGAGUGGCAGACGGGUGAGUAACGCGUGGGAACCUACCCCUUGGUACGGGAUAGCUCCGGGAAACUGGAGAUAAUACCGUAUGUGUCCUGAGGGACAAAGAUUCAUCGCCAAGGGAUGGGCCCGCGUCGGAUUAGCUAGUUGGUGGGGUAACGGCCUACCAAGGCGACGAUCCGUAGCUGGUCUAAGAGGAUGAUCAGCCACAUUGGGACUGAGACACGGCCCAAACUCCUACGGGAGGCAGCAGUGGGGAAUAUUGGACAAUGGGCGCAAGCCUGAUCCAGCCAUGCCGCGUGAGUGAUGAAGGCCCUAGGGUGGUAAAGCUCUUUCACCGGUGACGAUAAUGACGGUAACCGGAGAAGAAGCCCCGGCUAACUUCGU